GACGAACGCUGGCGGCGCGCCUAACACAUGCAAGUCGAACGAGAGAUGAAGAGCUUGCUCUUCAAAUCGAGUGGCGAACGGGUGAGUAACGCGUGAGGAACCUGCCUCAAAGAGGGGGACAACAGUUGGAAACGACUGCUAAUACCGCAUAAGCCCACGGCUCGGCAUCGAGCAGAGGGAAAAGGAGCAAUCCGCUUUGAGAUGGCCUCGCGUCCGAUUAGCUAGUUGGUGAGGUAAUGGCCCACCAAGGCAACGAUCAGUAGCCGACCUGAGAGGGUGACCGGCCACAUUGGGACUGAGACACGGCCCAAACUCCUACGGGAGGCAGCAGUGGGGAAUAUUGCACAAUGGGGGAAACCCUGAUGCAGCGACGCCGCGUGGAGGAAGAAGGUCUUCGGAUUGUAAACUCCUGUUGUUGGGGAAGAUAAUGACGGUACCCAACAAGGAAGUGACGGCUAACUACGUG
rnacentral:rRNA from 1 species